AGAGUGAACGCUGGCGGCGUGCUUAACACGUGCAAGUCGAGCGAUUUUCAGCAGCUUAUCGCUGAGAGUAGCGGCAGACGGGUGAGUAAUACUUAGGCAAUCUGCCCUUGAGAGGAAAACAACCUGCUGAAAAGUGGGCUAAUGUUCCAUAUGACCACGGAGUCGCAUGAUUCUGAGGUAAAAGCUCCGCAAGGGGCGCUCGAGGAGGAGCCUGAGGCCUAUCAUGGUAGUUGGCGGGGUAAUGGCCCACCAAGCCUACGACGGGUAGCCGGCCUGAAAGGGUGAUCGGCCACACU
rnacentral:rRNA from 1 species